rnacentral:rRNA from 1 species
UACGUAGGGCGCAAGCGUUGUCCGGAAUUAUUGGGCGUAAAGAGCUCGUAGGCGGUUUGUCGCGUCUGCCGUGAAAGUCCGGGGCUCAACUCCGGAUCUGCGGUGGGUACGGGCAGACUAGAGUGAUGUAGGGGAGACUGGAAUUCCUGGUGUAGCGGUGAAAUGCGCAGAUAUCAGGAGGAACACCGAUGGCGAAGGCAGGUCUCUGGGCAUUAACUGACGCUGAGGAGCGAAAGUGUGGGGAGCGAACAGG